UUCAUGUAAUAUAAUCGUUUAGUGUUUAGCAGCUUACGUUUGCUGUUCAUUUAGUAUAAUGGUUUAGAUUUUUAGUAGCUGUUUAAAAUGCUAUAUUUUAGUAGUACUUCGGUAUUUAGUUAAUUCUUACUAGUUGAAUGACUAACGUUUACCACUUAUAUCGUAUAGUAAUCGUUUAGCAGUUUUGUAGUAGUUUGGAAUGUGCAUUCUUGUAGCACUUUAGUAUACAGUUAGUUCUUAGUAGUAGGGUGACUAACUUUCAGCAUUUAGUUAGUAUACUCGUUUAGUGUUUAGUAGCAGUUUAGAAAGUAUAUGUUAGUAGCACUUUAGUGUGUAGAUAGUUCUUAGUAGUAGUCAGUAAGGUUUAGCGUUCAGGUAGUAUAAUCGUUUAGUGUUUUGGUAGCAGUUUAUAAUGUAUAUUUUAGUAGCACUUCAGUAUUGAGUUACUUCGUAGUAGUAGAGUGACUAGUGUUUAGAAUUAGAUAGCAUAAUCGCCUAGUGUUUUAGUAGCAGUUUAGAACGUAUAUUUUAGUAAUGCCUUAGUAUUGAGUUAGUUCGUAGUAGUAGAGUGACUAGAGUUGAGAAUUUAGAUAGUAUAAUCGCCUCGUGGUGGAGUGGCAAUUUAGAAUGUAUAUUUUAGUAGUACUUCAGUAUGUAGUUAAUUCUUACUAGCAGAGUGACUAACGUUUACGACUUAUAUCGUAUAGUAAUCGUUUAGCAGUUUUGUAGUAGUUUGGAAUGUGCAUUCUUGUAGCACUUUAGUAUACAGUUAGUUCUUAGUAGUAGGGGGACUAACUUUCAGCAUUUAAUUAGUAUGCUCGGUUAGUGUUUAGUAGCAGAUUAGAAAGUAUAUGUUAGUAGCACUUUAGUGUGUAGAUAGUUCGUGUGUAGCGAAGCAAUUCUGCUGUGGGGGCGGGGUCAAGUGUAUCAGUUAUGUCUUCACUGACUAUAGGAAAAUCUUGGGGCUUCGUCGUAGCGUUGAGGGGUCGUAAACUCGUCGUCAUUCGCGUAUAUAUCAAUUUUUGUGUCCUCCGGAUCAAUGAGAACCAGGCAGCCAAGCAAUAUGGAAUUGGAUGCAGCAAGACUAACUUCCUUUGAGUGCUUACCGUCGCUUGGAAUUGUGGGAGUUUACUAAUACAAAAGAAACAAACGGCCUCCAAACUGUUCCCAUUUCUUCCCUACCGGUCCACAGUCCACGACGUGUCAAGGUCAGCGAAAGCGAAAUGUGAAGGAUUAUUGUUCGUUCCCCCGCUGAGCAAGCGCCCAAGAUGCAACGCGUGUGCAAGACCACUGGGAUUUACCGAACCCCUCCACUGGGUGCCGGAAGACUAGCUUCCUUUGUGUACACACGGGGAGCUAAUAUUCAGGUGGAUUAGUCACAGGCGCUAGAAUAUUUCCAAGCCUAGAGGAACGCCACCACGUGCGUAGCAAUGAAUUAAAAACAACAAUGAACGAAGAAGUUCGACUAUCUACGUUAAUGGUGCACUGGCAUGUUCUCGGUGCCACAACAGUUCGAAGAAGAAGAAUGUUCUAGUUAACCAUAAACGAUGAUAUCGGGGUAGGUAGGGAACCAAUCACAAGGUGUCAGAUCGUCAAUCAGGACUCGCUUUCUGCAAGGAGCCACUCCGCCUGUGAAAGCUAGCUCAGAACACCACCCACAACCACCAAUGUCCAGAGGACGUCCUGAAAUGGUCGGAAUAUCUUUGUCAGAAAGUGACGUAAAUAGGAUGUCUUCUAGAUGUCUAUUUGCGAUGUCCGUUGGGACAAUAAAAGCGUACAUCCUGUAGAUAUCCUACAGUUAUCC